rnacentral:tRNA from 1 species
GCAGGGAUGGCAGAGCGGUCCAAUGCGCCCGCCUUGAGAGCGGGUCUCCUCUGGAGGCGAGGGUUCAAAUCCCUUUCCCUGCG